UGGCUACAGGACGAACGCUGGCGGCACGCUUAACACAUGCAAGUCGAACGGAGUUUAGAGAGCUUGCUUUUAAACUUAGUGGCGGACGGGUGAGUAACACGUGAGCAAUCUGCCUUUCAGAGGGGGAUAGCAGUUGGAAACGACUGAUAAUACCGCAUAACAUAGCGAAACCGCAUGAUUUUGCUAUCAAAGAUUUUUAUCGCUGAAAAGAUGAGCUCGCGUCUGAUUAGGUAGUUGGUGAGGUAACGGCCCACCAAGCCUACGAUCAGUAGCCGGACUGAGAGGUUGAACGGCCACAUUGGGACUGAGACACGGCCCAGACUCCUACGGGAGGCAGCAGGUGGGGAAUAUUGCACAAUGGGCGCAAGCCUGAUGCAAGCGAUGCCGCGUGAGGGAAGUAAGGUUUUAGGAUUGUAAACCUCUGUCUUGUGGGACGAUAAUGACGCUACCACAGGAGGAAGCUCCGGCUAACUACGUGCCAGCAGCGGC
rnacentral:rRNA from 1 species